rnacentral:rRNA from 1 species
GAUGAACGCUGGCGGCGUGCCUAAUACAUGCAAGUCGAGCGAACAGAUGAGGAGCUUGCUCCUCUGACGUUAGCGGCGGACGGGUGAGUAACACGUGGAUAACCUACCUAUAAGACUGGGAUAACUUCGGGAAACCGGAGCUAAUACCGGAUAAUAUAUUGAACCGCAUGGUUCAAUAGUGAAAGACGGUUUUGCUGUCACUUAUAGAUGGAUCCGCGCCGCAUUAGCUAGUUGGUAAGGUAACGGCUUACCAAGGCAACGAUGCGUAGCCGACCUGAGAGGGUGAUCAUCCACACUGGAACUGAGACACGGUCCAGACUCCUACGGGAGGCAGCAGUAGGGAAUCUUCCGCAAUGGGCGAAAGCCUGACGGAGCAACGCCGCGUGAGUGAUGAAGGUCUUCGGAUCGUAAAACUCUGUUAUUAGGGAAGAACAAAUGUGUAAGUAACUAUGCACGUCUUGACGGUACCUAAUCAGAAAGCCACGGCUAACUACGUG